AUUGAACGCUGGCGGCAUGCCUUACACAUGCAAGUCGAACGGCAGCGGGCCUUCGGGUGCCGGCGAGUGGCGAACGGGUGAGUAAUGCAUCGGAACGUGCCAUUGAGUGGGGGAUAACGUAGCGAAAGUUGCGCUAAUACCGCAUAUUCUGUGAGCAGGAAAGCAGGGGACCGCAAGGCCUUGCGCUCUUUGAGCGGCCGAUGUCAGAUUAGCUAGUUGGUGAGGUAAAGGCUUACCAAGGCGACGAUCUGUAGCGGGUCUGAGAGGAUGAUCCGCCACACUGGAACUGAGACACGGUCCAGACUCCUACGGGAGGCAGCAGUGGGGAAUUUUUGGACAAUGGGGGCGAACCCUGAUCCAGCCAUGCCGCGUGAGUGAAGAAGGCC
rnacentral:rRNA from 1 species